GAAUAUUGCGCAAUGGGCGAAAGCCUGACGCAGCAACGCCGCGUGAGGGAUGAAGGCUCUCGGGUUGUAAACCUCUUUCAGCAGGGACGAUUGUGACGGUACCUGCAGAAGAAGCUCCGGCCAACUACGUGCCAGCAGCCGCGGUAACACGUAGGGAGCAAGCGUUGUCCGGAUUUAUUGGGCGUAAAGAGCUCGUAGGUGGUUCGGUAAGUCGGGUGUGAAAACUCUGGGCUCAACUCAGAGACGCCACCCGAUACUGCCGUGACUUGAGUCUGGUAGGGGAGUGUGGAAUUCCUAGUGUAGCGGUGAAAUGCGCAGAUAUUAGGAGGAACACCAGUGGCGAAGGCGGCACUCUGGGCCAGUACUGACACUGAGGAGCGAAAGCGUGGGUAGCGAACAGG
rnacentral:rRNA from 1 species